rnacentral:rRNA from 1 species
CUACGGAAGGUCCGGGCGUUAUCCGGAUUUAUUGGGUUUAAAGGGAGCGCAGGCGGAGAUGCAAGCGUGACGUCAAAUUUCGGGGCUCAACCCCGUCUCGCGUCGCGAACUGCGUCCCUUGGUUGCGGGAAGGGGAGGCGGAACUCGUGGUGUAGCGGUGAAAUGCAUAGAUAUCACGAAGAACUCCGAUCACGAAGGCAGCCUUCCGGCCCGUCAACGACGCUCAUGCUCGAAGGUGCGGGUAUCAAACAGGAUUAGAUACCCUGGUAGUCCACGCAGUAAACGAUGAUGACUAACCGUCGGCGAUACACAGUCGGUGGCCAAGCGAAAGCGAUAAGUCAUCCACCUGGGGAGUACGUUCGCAAGAAUGAAACUCAAAUGAAUUGGCGGGG